CUGAGAGUGAAAGUUGAGGACCACCGUGACCAAAACCAGCUUGGCCGAAGACCACCAAACCAACCAAGAGGGAGACCAGCAGACAUGAGAAACCAGUCUUCCUCUCCUUCUCCCUACCUUCUUUCUUCCUUCUCUUCUUAGACCAACAGAGGAAGCCAUGCAGAGGCAUGACCCAGCAACCAUCUAGCCUAGUUUCCAGCAAGCUUGAAGCCAAAAUCUUCUAACCAUGCAGUCCAAGAACCACCUCCGGCCCAAACCCAUGCAAUCUGGCCCCACAGUGAAGCCGACCCCAACGUCCCAGCUCAACCCCAAACCCAUGCAAACUGGAGGAGACCUCGACAGUACGUGCAUGGACCAUGAACUCGUGACCCCCAUGCAUCUCGGCAACCCAACUUAGCUCCAUGACACAAACCGAAAGUCCAGCCUAGCCCGAGCAGCCGAACCCAUCCCAAGCCGAGAGCUCAACUGGCCGUGACCCAUACUGGAACCGAACCCAUAGCCAUCCGGUGACCCAGCAUCACGACCCCAGCCAGCAACCCAGUGUUACCGAAACCCAUCAACCCAUAGCAGAUCCGGCAUGAACCCAGCCGAGCUUCCAGCAGACCCAAACCCGUAGCACAACGUGAUCAUAGCCGAAGCCAUGAGCCCAUGCAUGACCACCGAGACUCGGCAAACCCAGAAACAGAGCCAGUGACCCGCACCCUUACCCAGUUUUCGGCAGCUGCUCAGCUCAACCCGUGCUUGUGCCCAUGCAACUCGACCCCCACCGUGACCGAACCAAGCCAUGCAUGAACCCAGCAAACCCAGACCAUGCGUGACUCGUGAGCUGGAGUGGCGAUCUCUGGCAAACCCGAAGCUGACUCCCAGCCGUUUAGAGGACAAAAUUCCUGGUUUACACGGAGACCCUUAGAAUGAUGAAUUGAGACAGCACAAAAGGGCUAUGUUUGCGCAGGUACUGAAGAUUAUGGAUUGGAUUAACUGCUAGCUUAAGAGAUUUAAAGCUGUGUAGUUAGGAUUUUAGUACUUUGUACUCGUAGAUAUUUGUACCAUUUGCUUGUAAUAUGACUAGACAUUUACUUGUAAUUAAUAAGUUCCAUGCAUGCUUUAGUGUCAUAUGUGACAUAUGUUUCUUUGUAAAUAGUGUAAAGACUUUUAAUGUAUUUUCUAGAAGAUGUCAGUUAAA